AGACACCACGAACUCUGUCUGAUCUAGUGAAGUCUGAGUUGAUUGUAUCGCAAUCAGUUAAAACUUUCAACAAUGGAUCUCUUGGUUCCGGCAUCGAUGAAGAACGCAGCGAAAUGCGAUAACUAGUGUGAAUUGCAGAAUUCCGUGAAUCAUCGAGUCUUUGAACGCACAUUGCGCCCCCUGGUAUUCCGGGGGGCAUGCCUGUCCGAGCGUCAUUGCUGCCCAUCAAGCACGGCUUGUGUGUUGGGUCGUCGUCCCCUCUCCGGGGGGGACGGGCCCCAAAGGCAGCGGCGGCACCGCGUCCGAUCCUCGAGCGUAUGGGGCUUUGUCACCCGCUCUGUAGGCCCGGCCGGCGCUUGCCGAACGCAAAUCAAUCUUUUUCCAGGUUGACCUCGGAUCAGGUAGGGAUACCCGCUGAACUUAAGCAUAUCAAANCGGNGAAGGAAAAUCAUUAACGGAGUGGUUAGGGUUUCCUAGCCGAGCCAACCUCCCACCCGUGUUUACUGUACCUUAGUUGCUUCGGCGGGCCGCCAUUCAUGGCCGCCGGGGGCUCUCAGCCCCGGGCCCGCGCCCGCCGGA
rnacentral:sRNA from 2 species